rnacentral:lncRNA from 1 species
UGAACUAGCAGCCCAUGUACUUUUUUUUUUAUUCACAUCUACUCAUCAUCAUCAUGUAGGAAUUUUUAUCUCAAAAAAAUUGCCCCUUACGUCUCUAAUAAAAUCUCAACUUUCUAAAGUCCUUUCAACAACAUUAUCUCCUUUGAUCCUCUCUCUGAUCAUAUGCCAAAAGUGAGUGAUAAAUUGAUAUGAUACACAUCAUGGGACAGAGGAGAAAACUGAGGUGACAAGAAGCAAGAAAGCCUAUCCAGAAACACCUGAGUGACCCAGUGCUCUGCCUGUGGUCCAUGCAGCCCUUGACCUUGAAGUCAGCACAGCAGGCCCAUUGGAGCACUUCAGGUCACAUGCCCUUGAGAAGGCCGAAUUAGGAUCUUAGACAACAGACAGAAACCUCAACCCUUUCAAGGCUGUCACAAGGACUUUCAGCACUGGACUUGCAUGUGUCCAAGAUUUUUUAAAGAAAUGUAACUCGCCAUCUUACAAUACAUCCUCAGCACACAUUGUUUACAUGAGCUCACUCUAGUGGUGCAGAGUACACGGUGCCUCCUUAGGGGCUCCCUUGUUGUCUCCUGAAUGGGCCAUUUUCAACCAGUGCAUUGCCUGUCACCUGAACUUGUCUUCCCCAGCAGGACGAAUGCAGAGUAAGAGAUUUUUGAAUCCUGGGUGACUUUUAACCAAGGUCUUUUCCAGCCCAAGCUGCCUGGUGAGCCAGGUCAAGGCCUAGCCAGGCACUCUGGUGGAGCUCAAUAUGUAAGAUCAGGUAAGGCGGGCAGCAACCAAAGGAAGCAGAUUUUAAAAGGCCGCCAAAGGAGGCUUUAUUUGAGAUAUCACUCCUGGGUGGAACUCGAUCAGACCAACAGAGUGGAUAGGAAAAGGGUCUGAGGAGAAACUGCGUAGAAGCUUGACCAAACCAGGAUUUUAUGGGGUUUCCAGCAGGAAGAGAAGGGCUUGGGACAGGAAAGAGGAUUUGUAGGGUUCCUUGUCCCACUGGAGUUGGUCAGGGGAGUUGGCUGAACUCCAGAAUUGGCCAAGGGUUGUGCUGAUUGACAGGCAUUAGUCAGGAGAUCCUGCUGAUGGACAGGCAUUUCUGUCAGUGCCUGAUUGAUGUUUCUUUCCCGUGAGGGCUGCUUUGUUCUAAGUCACAGCCACCGUCCUGACACAAUAUAUACAGAUGUGUUAGUAAGAGUGCAUACACCUUGGGGGCCCUGAAGAGUAGACCCUGCCUUCUUUGUGGGACAUGAGAUUUGGGAGUGGACAGGAGAGGUGGGUGCUGUCAGUUG